rnacentral:rRNA from 1 species
GAUGAACGCUGGCGGCGUGCCUAAUACAUGCAAGUCGAACGCACAGCGAAAGGUGCUUGCACCUUUCAAGUGAGUGGCGAACGGGUGAGUAACACGUGGACAACCUGCCUCAAGGCUGGGGAUAACAUUUGGAAACAGAUGCUAAUACCGAAUAAAACUCAGUGUCGCAUGACACAAAGUUAAAAGGCGCUUUGGCGUCACCUAGAGAUGGAUCCGCGGUGCAUUAGUUAGUUGGUGGGGUAAAGGCCUACCAAGACAAUGAUGCAUAGCCGAGGUGAGAGACUGAUCGGCCACAUUGGGACUGAGACACGGCCCAAACUCCUACGGGAGGCUGCAGUAGGGAAGCUUCCACAAUGGGCGAAAGCCGGAUGGAGCAACGCCGCGUGUGUGAUGAAGGCUUUCGGGUCGUAAAGCACUGUUGUAUGGGAAGAACAGCUAGAAUAGGGAAUGAUUUUAGUUUGACGGUACCAUACCAGAAAGGGACGGCUAAAUACGUGCCAGCCGCCGCAGUAA